rfam:Bacillus sp. B-jedd genome assembly, contig: CONTIG000001
UUCUUAUCGAGAGAGGUUGAGGGACUGGCCCUAUGACACCUCGGCAGCGGACUCCAUUGGAGCUCUGUGCCAAUUCCAGCAAGCGAAAGCUUGGGAGAUAAGAA